rnacentral:rRNA from 1 species
GACGAACGCUGGCGGCGUGCCUAAUACAUGCAAGUUGAGCGAUGAAGAUUGGUGCUUGCACCCAUUUGAAGAGCAGCGAACGGGUGAGUAACGCGUGGGGAAUCUGCCUUUGAGCGGGGGACAACAUUUGGAAACGAAUGCUAAUACCGCAUAACAACUUUAAACAUAAGUUUUAAGUUUGAAAGAUGCAAUUGCAUCACUCAAAGAUGAUCCCGCGUUGUAUUAGCUAGUUGGUGAGGUAAAGGCUCACCAAGGCGAUGAUACAUAGCCGACCUGGGAGGGUGAUCGGCCACAUUGGGACUGAGACACGGCCCAAACUCCUACGGGAGGCAGCAGUAGGGAAUCUUCGGCAAUGGACGAAAGUCUGACCGAGCAACGCCGCGUGAGUGAAGAAGGGUUUCGGAUCGUAAAACUCUGUUGGUAGAGAAGAACGUUGGUGAGAGUGGAAAGCUCAUCAAGUGACGGUAACUACCCAGAAAGGGACGGCUAACUACGUG